AACGAACGCUGGCGGCAUGCCUAACACAUGCAAGUCGAACGAGACCUUCGGGUCUAGUGGCGCACGGGUGCGUAACACGUGGGAAUCUGCCCUUGGGUUCGGAAUAACAGUUGGAAACGACUGCUAAUACCGGAUGAUGACGUAAGUCCAAAGAUUUAUCGCCCAAGGAUGAGCCCGCGUCGGAUUAGCUAGUUGGUGGGGUAAAGGCCUACCAAGGCGACGAUCCGUAGCGGUCUGAGAGGAUGAUCAGCCACACUGGGACUGAGACACGGCCCAGACUCCUACGGGAGGCAGCAGUGGGGAAUAUUGGACAAUGGGCGAAAGCCUGAUCCAGCAAUGCCGCGUGAGUGAUGAAGGCCUUC
rnacentral:rRNA from 1 species